CUCAUCAUCCUCUCCAUCCUAUAGCAAACCCUAGACGCCGCAUCCUCACUGAGAAUCUAUCUCCACAUCUUUAUCUUUCUCAAUCAAUCUUGGUGUUACUAGAUGGUUUUGUUGUGGAAGAAACCCUAAUUGUAAUCAACUUCCCGUUGCUGCAACUACUUUUGCCUCUCAAGUCGCCAAUGUUGAAAUUUCUACUUGGAAAUUAUAGCGGAUUGGUUGAUGAUUUAUCAAGUUUCCACUUUCUGUACUGCAAAUGAUUACAAUUUCAGGUCCUAUUCUUCCCGUUUCAUGAAGCAAUUCCGUUGACCCACGACAAUUUUCAUCCUCUAUUUGCUUUCUCUCUCAGUUUUCGCCCCAAUUCGUCUGCCAUACGAAAGGAGGAAGGUGUUGGGUUAAGAGAACCUAUUUUGAAGGUUUACAAAGAUGUAAAGGUUGAUGUUCCUGUCGGUUCCAAAGUCGCGAAUUCGGGUAUAAAGUCUGACGAUGUUGGAAGCGGUGGAAAUAGUGAUUUGAUGAAAGGAAAUGGAGAUCUUGAUGCAAAAGGAAUUAAUGGACAGAGCCAUGAAGAGAAAAGAUUGGGAGAAGUUGUCAUGCAACACUAGGGCAUGAUCAGGAUGCACAAGCACAAGCACGGAGGGUACUAAUGGAUACUGAGGUUAAAGUGAUGAAAGAUCAGCUGAUAAGGGCCAAAGCUUACUUGAGUUUUGCUGCUGAUAAGAUAACAGGAGGUUGAUGAAAAUCAAAGAGUGGUUUGAUAGAUAUAAAAUAAGUUGAGUGGGAGUUUGAGGAAGAUAAUGAUGAAACACUUUUAGUUUUGGGGAACAGCUAGAAAGGAAGGAGAUGAAAGUUUUUUCGGAAUCUUUAGCGACUCAGGACUCUUGGGCUAGCGGGUAUUCUUCUGGCCCGGUGAAGCUGAUCUUAAAGUGGACAUGAAUAAAUUUAUUAUACUUUAAACAUAUAAUAGCAAAUUUGACGUUUUCUUCAUUCCAGUUUUAGUUCCAUUUUACUAAUUUAUGUUGCACUCUUCACAGUUAAUCGUUGUUUCAGGACCGCCAGAAUGCUAUACACUCACUUUUGGUCGUGCGAAUGGAUACAAGCUUUAGGUCAAAUCUUUUUGUUGCCUAAGCCAAAACAACUAAUACAUGGAAGACAAGAUGUUGAAGAGCCAGCAAUUUUGUACCGUCUUCAUCUUCUUCUGGUGGGUUUUAAGGUUGUGCCGUUGGCGACAUUUCAUGUAGGUAUUAUACUAUUAUUGGUUUGGUUUUCUAAGCCGAUGAAAGAGGCUUUAUUUAAAAAAAAUACUAAUUUUUUUUAAGGUAUGACGUAGUUGAUGCUUUAUUCCUAUGCAAAUUUUAAGUUUUUUCUAAUGUAACGUCACAAAUAACAAAUGGUUGCUAUUUUUUUUUUCAUUUGCUUGUGUUAACGAAAAUUACUAACUUUGAUCCAACCUUAGGGAUGAGCAAAUGGUACCAAAACCGAACCGAUACCGUAGCGGGUCAUUUUCGGUACCCAUUUUUAUGUUUUUUGGAACGGUACUUUCGGUUCGGUUAAGUAGGGCACAAUACCGGUAAUUUGGGUUGAUUUACCUUCGAGUAUGUACCAAGCAAUUUCGGUACAGGUGCCUAUUUUUUAGUAAUUUUCAGAAUCGUACUUUCGGUACCGGUACUUUACCGAGCUCAUCGCUACCCAACCAGUUUGACGUGCUAUUGUACUGGAUCUACUAUUUGUUAUAAAAAAGACCCUUUCUUUUGGUUUUUAGCUGUUUUUCGAUGUCGUUUUUGCUGUUGUUUCGCAACUUCUUGCUGUUUUUUACAUUUUUUUGUUGUUUAUCUAUCUUUGUUUAAAGCUACAUCAUUUACCAGCAUGGCUAAGCAAGUGAUUGUCUUCAGGCUUCAGUACUAGCCUUCUUAAUACCUCACCACCUAAAUGACUCGGUUCAAGGGAAAUGGUAAGCCAUCGAAGACAAAAGGUAUGCGAUGCCCCAAUCUCUCUUCAUGUCAUAGGUUGUUGCCUUAGUUUGGGAAGGACACUAAUUACUAACACCUUGCUGGUCAAGGGUUUGUAGUUUAUUAUUGCCAACACUUCAACUUUUGUUUGGGUUUUAGAUAAACGGUUGGCACAACUCAUUUAAAUUUCAAUAAAAAGAUAUAUACAACUUAUAUCUUCAACACACCAACAUGUUUAAAACCCUUUUAGAUAAACGAAUUACGUGGUUCGUGUUCGCGUUACAUGGCUUAAGCACGUCUAGGUUGCUACUGAAUUUUAAAUAAUUUUUUUUUUGUUAUUUCCACUUGAUUAAUACGAGCACACUAAUGCUGUCAAAAGUGAACUUUAAAAAACUUGUAUAAUUCAAGGGGCGUUUUAGGUAUUAGCUUGGCCAAGUGAGAGCUUAUGGUAUAUGUUAUACUAGAAAACUCAAAAGACAAGACUCAAGUGCAUCUCAUUUAUGUUAAUGUCAUAUACGAAGGGCAAACUUUUAAAGAUACAAUAUUGGGUUUUUAAAUGCUUUUUGCUGGUGGAAUUUGAUGGUAAAUGUAUAAUUUGGGUUUUGGGUUCGGGUUGGAUGAUGGAUGGGAGUUUGAAGAUGGAUAAUUAAUAUAAAUAACUUUCUUUAGCCAGGAAAAAAGUGGUGUAUACGACCAUGCAAAUGGCGAUUUGGUGUAUUUGGAAGUGUCGACAUAACAUACUAUUCAA